rnacentral:rRNA from 1 species
CCUACGGGUGGCAGCAGUGGGGAAUAUUGCACAAUGGGGGAAACCCUGAUGCAGCGACGCCGCGUGAGUGAAGAAGUAUUUCGGUACGUAAAGCUCUAUCAGCAGGGAAGAAAAUGACGGUACCUGACUAAGAAGCCCCGGCUAACUACGUGCCAGCAGCCGCGGUAAUACGUAGGGGGCAAGCGUUAUCCGGAUUUACUGGGUGUAAAGGGAGCGCAGGCGGCGUGGCAAGUCAGAUGUGAAAACCCGGGGCCCAACCCCGGGAGUGCAUUUGAAACUGCCAUGCUGGAGUGCCGGAGAGGUAAGCGGAAUUCCUAGUGUAGCGGUGAAAUGCGUAGAUAUUAGGAGGAACACCAGUGGCGGAGGCGGCUUACUGGACGGUAACUGACGCUGAGGCUCGAAAGCGUGGGGAGCAAACAGGAUUAGAUACCCUUGUAGUC